rnacentral:tRNA from 1 species
GGAUUGUGGCUCAGUGGUAGAGCGCUUGCCUAGCAUGUGCAAGGUACUGGGUUCCAUUCUCAGCACCA